AACGGGAUUAGAUACCCCGGUAGUCCACGCCGUAAANUAUGGAUGNUAGCUGUUAUAGGUAUCGACCCCUGUAGUAGCGAAGCUAACGCGUUAAGCAUCCCGCCUGUGGAGUACGGUCGCAAGACUAAAACAUAAAGGAAUUGACGGGGACCCGCACAAGCGGUGGAGCGUGUUGUUUAAUUCGAUGGUAAGCGAAGAACCUUACCCAGGCUUGACAUCCUUGGAAGGCAUCCGAAAGGAUACUGUGCCCUCGGGAACCAAGUGACAGGUGAUGCAUGGCCGUCGUCAGCUCGUGUCGUGAGAUGUUUGGUUAAGUCCAUCAACGAGCGCAACCCUUAUAGUUAGUUGAAUUUUUCUAGCUAGACUGNCCCUGGUAANCAGGGAGGAAGGGGGGGAUGAUGUCAGGUCAGUAUUUCCCUUACGUNCUGGGGCUACAAACACGCUACAAUGGCCGGUACAAAGGGCAGCCAACCCGCCGAGGGGGAGCAAAUCCCAUCAAAGCCGGUCUCAGUUCGGAUUGCAGGCUGAAACUCGCCUGCAUGAAGUCGGAAUCGCUAGUAACGGUAGGUCAGCACACUACCCGUGAAUACGUUCCCGGGUCUUGUACACACCGCCCGUCAAACCAUGAAAGUCACCAAUACCUGACGUGUUGCCUAGUGCAGCCCUAAGGUAGGGGAGAUGAUUGGGGUUAAGUCGUAANCAAGGUACC
rnacentral:rRNA from 1 species